ensembl:lncRNA
GGUCUUGGAAGACUAGGUCUAUUUGAGGACUCGCCACUUCCGCUCCUGGCUAACUCUGAGCGGGCUUGGAGGGCUGCAUGGUGUUACUGUGCACACUGUCGUGUGCUGUGAAAUUCCUCCGUCAAAGAAAGUCUUCAUUGGCCCGCCUUCAGCAAACACGCUACGACAGUGUCCAGGGGAGACCCAACAGAGGCCUGAUUCAGGCCCUGCAACAAGAUCCCUCCGGCUCACACAGAGAGCCUCACAGUUCCCUGUCCCCUGGCCACAGCGCCUUGAAAGAGCUCUUCCCAUGUACCUGCCGGAGCUCCGUCGGAUGUUAGCUUUUGUUACCGUGCGUUCUUACUCGACACAAGGGAAGCAAUGUGUGCACAGGCCCGGGAAGCGUGCACAUGAUCUGUGUGUCGGACCUGAUAGCUGAGAGCCGGCAUCGGCACCGUCUGCAACAUGAUGUUUGGGCCGUGGUGAUUACUCCCAUUUGAAGACGGGAUUCCGAGCCAGAAAUUGACGGUGCCGAUACGUAAUCGUGCCCAGCUGGCUUACAUACGGCAACAUCGCAGUGGAUAUUAGAACUUCAUUGUCUAAAGGAAAUUGGAGGAUUUUCCUGGAGACACGAUGGCAACGUAGCCAGGAGCCAUUCUAUACCAUCUCCACAAUGCUCCGCCGACAGAGCGGUUGUAUAAUUCAUGAGCACCAGCCAGAGCUCACACUGGAAUAAUCAUCCAACAGAAUUCAAGAUGCCGCGGGAGAAAUCAGUCUGAGAAUUUCUCUGACACGAACAACAACAAAACACCAAAAAUAUAUUUUGGAGUUUAUGUCGGCAACCUACAUUAUCCUUUGAUGUUUAAGACACGUGGUCCCUGGUGAUCUCUCUCCGCUAAGAAGACGGGGCUGAGGCGGCCUGGGUUCUGCUGAUGGAAACCCUGGUAUGAUAAACACUGAGGGAUUUCUGUUUUACUCCCCUGUCUUGGUUGAAUUGGGGCCAGAUGAACGCGGCAGCCUCUUCCUGCGCACAGCUGGAUCCAAUAAGGCCGCCUGUCCCGUGGUUCUGGCUGCGCUGUACAUACAUUUAAACAGGACGGAGCAAAGACCCAUUCAUCCGAGUUAGGCGGCUUCAAAUUGGAUUUGAGGAUAUUUUUCAGUAGUUCCUGCAGAAUAAUUUUAUGGACGGAUGAGAGAAUGGAAAGAGAUAGUGAUGGAUACAGUUGCUAAAUGUUUUAUUUGUUUAACAGAAACAGAUUGCAGCAGAAAAUACCAUCUCUAGCGUCCAUUUACUACUGUUAUGGGGACAUUUCGUUUUUGGAUGAGCAUUUGCAUGUAUGUUCCAUACUGAAACACUCCUCUAUCUAUCUGACCAAAUGUCAAACAGCAGAUUGAGUCAUUGUUCCAAAGGCCACAUACUUUUCCAUGCAUCAUCAUGCAUCAUGCUGUAAUGCGCUAAGAGCCAAGGCUAAGAGGAAAACACAUCCGUAUUGUCCUUUUGGUUCAGAGUUAGUAUGAAAGGUAGACCCCCCUCGCAUGAUGCUUUAAGAGAUACUGAUGUCUCACGUAAGAUUGACUUCACUUAUCUUUAGCUCAAAUAAUUUGUGGUCUCAGCUGCGUUUUUCUGUCUGUGCCAAAGUCUGAGCAAUGAGCUGUGUGCAAAUCAUAACCUUUGGCUUCGGUCUUCAGUGUAGACAGCCCACGUCAUCGACCGAGCCGUAUACGAUCUAUAAAUCUCUUCCAACAGCAGCUCUGAUGACGGGAGCGUCUCUGUGUUGACGAGAGAUCUCACAGGAGUGCUAUCAUCUCAGAAAAUCGUCCCUUCUCAUCCGUAGCCAGAAGUAUUCUCUGCUACCUCCACCGAAUGUGGAGAUGAAGAGGGUGUUGAAGGCGUCACUAAAUUACAUGUUAUGUGUUCUUUGUUUUCAUUUUAGAUUUGUUCUUGGACAGGCCAACGAAGGGCUUUGACAAACUUGCUUUCAUCUUACAAAGGCUUUUCCAGGACCAUCUGUUUUGGACGGUCCCAACAAACCGAGUCAGAGUUUAACUGGAGGGUCAGAGUGGGAGCCUGCCAAACGGAGGCUUUGCUGUUGGCCAUCCACGCCGGUUCACCUCCCUCUGGCUCCCCUAAACACAAACACACCGGCUCCAGAUCUUCUGCCUGUAAAUGUGGAGGGAGAGCAGCUCUACUGUACACACACACAAACACACACACCCCUUCAACCUCUUAAUGCGGUACACUGAGGCAAAUUGUGCAGGCAAUGUUCAGCUGUCUCUCUCCCACAUUAUUUAUGUUCAUCCUUGUGGUACCGUUGCCUCCAUCUGACUUGACGCACAACUCAGACCUUAGAUUGAUUAUAAUCAUAUCCAAACUCUUGGGCAGACUAGCUCAUAUCAGCAGGGCUUUUCACUUUAUUUACUUUAUUUGAUAUUUGUAUUUCAAUCAUGUUGCUUGAGGCUGGGAACUGUAAAAAAGGUUGGUAAAGGUUUAUAUCAACACCAUGUAGACUGGCAAAUGUAGUAAUCAUUCUAUCACUGAUUGUGGUAACACAAUGGUGAUUGCGGAUGACAGCCCUGGCAUUGGCAGUAUUAUAAAUGUUACCACCUGGGGGUCACUGUUUCGAAUCUUUGGGAAAAUGACGCUAUAUCACCAAAGGUGUCGCCAAAGAGAACAAAACGAGAAUCAUUGAGAUAGAUAUAUCUACAUAUAUCUACUACAAUAUUUAUUAAUACAUUUAUAAAAAAAUCAUAAAAUACGAUUC